rnacentral:lncRNA from 1 species
UGGCCAGCUGCUUGCGGGGCGCCUUCCCGCCCGUCGACUUGCGGGCCGUCUGCUUCGUACGGGCCAUGCUGCCCGCUCCUCAGGGGCUGCGUGCGAGGCCGCUGAGAGGCGUGGGGUGCGCGGCGGCGGCCGCGCUAGGGCUGCGCUCGGUGCCUGCCCGCCGCCUGCCCGCUGCCUUCUUUCCCGCCUUUCCCGCCAGCCCUGACGCAAAAUGGCGGCCCCGUUCCCGGCGUGCACCGCGGCGAGGGGGGGGGGGCGGAGGGGGAGGGGCGGGGUCGGCUGAGGUGAGGCGGCCCCGGCGCCAUCUUGGAGUCGUGGUGGCGAUGCGCGAAGGGCCUUUGGGGGCCGAGCCUGAGAAAUCAUCCGCCUCCCAGUGACUCAGUGGCAUCUCCACCCACCAGCUCAGAGCUGCACCCCUGGGAGGAGAACGGUGGAAAAUGUGAAUUCUUGUUGGAAUUUCAGGCGUCACCCCGAGGGAAAAGGCAGUGACACGCAGAGCUCUCCUUGCUGCAGUCACCAGAGGGCACACGUCUGCUGCACUGACACAGAAAUGUUCCCAAUUCGUGCUGUUCUGAGGUGCGUUCAUCACUGAGACCCACAGAGGGGAGGAGACCCCCAAAAUGGGGUAUGUGAGGGCAGGGGUCUGCAGGGAUCUGCUCAGAGCAACGAUGAGCUGAAGGGGAAACCCAAAGCAAAGGGGGAAAACAGCAAAACCAAAGGGGAAACCGAACCAAAAAGGGAAUAAGAAUACAGAGCAAAAGGGAAUGAGGCAGCCCAAAGUUCCCAUGACUUUAUUGAGAAUCGUCACCGAGUGGUGUUAUAAUGGCAGAACAGCUCAACCCAGAGAGGAGCAGCAUUCGGUGAGCGAUGUGGGCAUGAAGCAGAACGUCGAUGGCGUCAAACGAAACAUCAAUGGCGUCAAAUGAAACGUCGAUGGCGUCAAACGAAGCGUCGAUGGCGUCAAACAAAACCUCUGUGUCAUAAAGUCAAACGUGGACGGCGUGCGCCAAAGCUGGAUGACACGGAGUGAAGCAUCGAUGGCGUAAAGCAGACCCACACCAGGUUGGAACGCGAGCUCUGGCUCCGGUGCCGUGCGCGGGUUCUGGAAGCAGCCCUGUGCCCGUGGGCCUUUUGGCCGCCCCCGUCAUGGAGCGCUGUGCCGGCAGAGCCGGGCGGUGCUGGGGGGUCAGCGUGGGCCCCCACGGCCCCGUUGGAUGUGGGGCGAUGUGGGGCCUACGGGAGGGCAGCUUGGAUGGCGGCCACGAUGCGCUGCAGUUUGGCGUCGGUGUCCACGAAGCCGUCGCCGUUCUUCUUGGAGUGCACCAGGCGGCUGCCCACCGUCACCUCGAACCAUCCCGUCACCUCCUGCGUGCCCUGGCCGCGCAUCUCCAGCGCUCCGGGGAAGCGCUUCUCCAGCUCCGCCCGCAGCCGUUCGUACUUGGGCUUGUAGCCUCAGGCUCCGCAGUAGAGCACGGUGACGCGGAGCGGCAUGGCGAUGGCACUGCGGGUGGCGGCACUGCUGGUGGCGGUGGUGGCGGUGGUGGCAAUGGCGGUGGGGACGAUGGCGGCCGCCCCCAAGCACCGCCCCCCCGCGCU